UACGUAGGGGGCAAGCGUUAUCCGGAUUUACUGGGUGUAAAGGGAGCGUAGACGGCAGUGCAAGUCUGAAGUGAAAGGCAAGGGCUCAACCCUUGGACUGUUUUGGAAACUGUGCUGCUGGAGUGUCGGAGAGGCAAGUGGAAUUCCUAGUGUAGCGGUGAAAUGCGUAGAUAUUAGGAGGAACACCAGUGGCGAAGGCGGCUUGCUGGACGAUGACUGACGUUGAGGCUCGAAAGCGUGGGGAGCAAACAGG
rnacentral:rRNA from 1 species